CCCUCUGUGGCGCAACGGCAGCGCAGGCGGCUCUUACCCGCAGGGUUGGAGGUUCAAAUCCUUCCAGGGGGACCA
rnacentral:tRNA from 1 species